rnacentral:rRNA from 1 species
UGCGCAGGCGGUUGGCAAAGUCAGCUGUGAAAGCCCCGGGCUUAACCUGGGAAUUGCGGUUGAAACUAGUCGACUAGAAUUUGGCAGAGGGGGUGGAAUUCCACGUGUAGCAGUGAAAUGCGUAGAGAUGUGGAGGAACACCGAUGGCGAAGGCAGCCCCCUGGGCUGGAAUUGACGCUCAGGCACGAAAGCGUGGGAGCAAACA